AGUGAACGCUGGCGGUAGGCCUAACACAUGCAAGUCGAACGGCAGCACAGUAAGAGCUUGCUCUUACGGGUGGCGAGUGGCGGACGGGUGAGGAAUACAUCGGAAUCUACUUUUUCGUGGGGGAUAACGUAGGGAAACUUACGCUAAUACCGCAUACGACCUACGGGUGAAAGCAGGGGAUCUUCGGACCUUGCGCGAUUGAAUGAGCCGAUGACGGAUUAGCUAGUUGGCGGGGUAAAGGCCCACCAAGGCGACGAUCCGUAGCUGGUCUGAGAGGAUGAUCAGCCACACUGGAACUGAGACACGGUCCAGACUCCUACGGGAGGCAGCAGUGGGGAAUAUUGGACAAUGGGCGCAAGCCUGAUCCAGCCAUACCGCGUGGGUGAAGAAGGCCUUCGGGUUGUAAAGACCUUUUGUUGGGAAAGAAAAGCAGCAGGUUAAUACCCCGCUGUUCUGACGGUACCCAAAGAAUAAGCACCGGCUAACUUCGUG
rnacentral:rRNA from 1 species